ACUCCUACGGGAGGCAGCAGUGGGGAAUUUUGGACAAUGGGCGAAAGCCUGAUCCAGCAAUGCCGCGUGAGUGAAGAAGGCCUUCGGGUUGUAAAGCUCUUUUGUCAGGGAAGAAACGGUGAGAGCUAAUAUCUUUUGCUAAUGACGGUACCUGAAGAAUAAGCACCGGCUAACUACGUGCCAGCAGCCGCGGUAAUACGUAGGGUGCAAGCGUUAAUCGGAAUUACUGGGCGUAAAGCGUGCGCAGGCGGUUUUGUAAGUCUGAUGUGAAAUCCCCGGGCUCAACCUGGGAAUUGCAUUGGAGACUGCAAGGCUAGAAUCUGGCAGAGGGGGGUAGAAUUCCACGUGUAGCAGUGAAAUGCGUAGAUAUGUGGAGGAACACCGAUGGCGAAGGCAGCCCCCUGGGUCAAGAUUGACGCUCAUGCACGAAAGCGUGGGGAGCAAACAGGAUUAGAUACCCCUGUAGUCCCAUGA
rnacentral:rRNA from 1 species